rnacentral:lncRNA from 10 species
CUGGUUUUGAGUGGCCAGGUGUGACCUCACGCCGUCAUUAGUAACUCGGGCAGGGGAGGGAUUCGGGGAGGUCUCAUCAAUUUGGGCCUGAGGAAAAUUCAGGUGGAAGACAAUUAAAUAACUAACCACCUCCGCAAGGUGCAGAACUCAAACCCAAGUCUCCCUCCCACGCCCUGGGCUCCAGGGAAGCCCUUGGGUGUUGUUGUUGAAACAGGACGAGGCGUGACCCCGGGUCUGCGUUGUUUGGCGUGGGUUCUCACUAUGUUGCUUAAGCUGGUCCAGAACUCAAGCCAGUCUCUCACUUCAGCCUCUUGAGUCGUUGGGAUUACAGAAGCCACCAUGUCCAA